rnacentral:rRNA from 1 species
AUACGGAGGAUCCGAGCGUUAUCCGGAUUUAUUGGGUUUAAAGGGUGCGCAGGCGGGAGAUUAAGUCGGCGGUGAAAUUUUGCAGCUCAACUGUAAAAGUGCCUUCGAAACUGGUUUCCUUGAGUGUAGAUGAAGUAGGCGGAAUUUGUGGUGUAGCGGUGAAAUGCAUAGAUAUCACGAGGAACUCCGAUUGCGCAGGCAGCUCACUAAACUACUACUGACGCUCAGGCACAAAGGCGUGGGGAUCAAACAGGAUUAGAUACCCUGGUAGUCCACGCAGUAAACGAUGAUUACUAGCUGUUUGCGAUACAAUGUAAGCGGCUGAGCGAAAGCGUUAAGUAAUCCACCUGGGGAGUACGUUCGCAAGAAUGAAACUCAAAUGAAUUGACGGGG